GCACCGUUGGAUCUGCCAAACAAACAGGCCAACCACCUCAGUCAAGGCCCCACACGACUUUGCUUCCUGGAACAAUGGAGCAGCGGAAGGGGUGGUAGCACAAUACGUACAUACUGUUGGUUGCUGUCUACUUCCUGAAAGGAAAAGAAGUGAGAGAAAUAUUGGAUAAUGAAGGAAGCCGAUGAAAUCUCACAUGUACACGACAGACUGUCACCAAUCUGGAGGAUGCAGUCACUUCAUAGGCAUGCGAAAGCUGAGCAAUGAAAAAAGGAAGAGAGAAGAAUUG